rnacentral:lncRNA from 1 species
UGCCUGAGCUGCUCAAUAUAUUGAAGAUAGUCGAAAGCCAUUUUAAGAGUGAAAAGGCACAUGUUCUUCUGAUAGAUAAGAUCUCCAAGAAGAAGAUAGGCAAUAAUGGUUCCAAUAAAAAAAAAGAUGAACCCUGAGGCUAGCAUCUCUAAGAAGAUAGUGAAGAGUGUCUCAGCCAAAGUACCUAUUUCCACUAUGAGAAAGAAGGACACUGAAAGAGAAACUACAAGUACUACCUU